AGUGCUCAGUGUACUUUCUUAGUCAUUUCCAUGCCAAUCAUUAUGAUGGUCUUGGCAAGAAAUGAUAACAUGUCCCUAUAUAUUGCUCUCCUCUUACGGGAUGGCUAGUUGAAAUGUGCCUCUAUGUAGAUCCUUCAAUAUGUGAUUGAUGGUAUCAAAGUGACUUCAAUGGAUGCUAAUCGUUUUCGUGGAGCAGCUUUGAUUCACUCUGAGCUCUGAAAUGGACAGUGUUACCGUAUCAAUACCAACGCAUGUAUUUUGGUGGAGUGAAAGCUGGUGCAAGGACCUCAAGUGAUGGUCUACAUGCAUCUCAAACUACAAAAGCACAAAGCAAUUUCUUAAACCUCUUUGAUACCGGAUAUAACCGGCUAUUUGAAGAGUACAUGGAUUUAGUAUUAUAAAAUACAAUAGCAAACAUAGUCCUUGUUCAUGGAGAUGAUUACAUAUCAUGUUCUUCUAUGCAAGAUCCCAGGAGUUCUAAUUA